UUGUUCUAAGUGCGGAGUUCUCGGCUCAUUGUCAGUGCAAUUAAAAAAAUUAGUAGUUUACGUUUGAAGAUCUUUCACCCUUGGAUAAGAGGCAUUACUGGAACAUCACUGAGACAUCACCGAGGAUUCCCGCUAUAGUUCGCCACUACCUCCAGCGAAUAUCAACGAGAAGAAGAGUCACCUGUAUCGACCAGAGCAGAGGAUCAAUAGGACGUCUAUCGAUAUUUGAUGAAAUUCCGGUGCGUUAUUACAAUGGAAAGAAACUAAAGAACUUGAGAAGUGCAGAAGGAAAAGUAGGAGAAUAUCUAG